AUGGCCAUACCACAUUGAAAACACCGGUUCUCGUCCAAUCACUUAAGUUAAGCAACGUCGGGCCCGGUCAGUACUUUGGGACCACCGGGUGCUGUAGGCU